rnacentral:lncRNA from 1 species
CUAAAAUUUUUAAAUGCAAAAGUAAAAGAAAGAAUACUAGGUUGCCUCCUAGUAGUGCUUGUUUAAUGUCACGAGCCUGACCUAAACCUGUUUAGCACUUGUCAGUAAAUGCAAUACCAUCCAACACCCAUCAGUUGGUGUGCCUUCCUGGAAUCCUUCAGUGGAUUCACAAAUCUUCUAGCAUCCCUCAGUAGAUGCUAAUCAUUACUACCAUCAGAAGCAGCGCAUAACCAAAAAAUAAAAAAUAAAUAAAUAAGUAAAUAAAUAAAUAAAAUAAAAUAAAAUAAAAUAAAAUAAAAUCAAAUAAAAUAAAUUAAAAUCAAAUCAAAUCAAAUAAAAUAAAAUCAAAUAAAAUAAAAUCAAAACGAAAUAAAAGAUAAAAAAAAAAAAAUUCAGAAACUAGGUUGCCUCCCAGCAAGCGCUCUUUUAACGUCAUUAGCUUGUCCCGGUAGAGUUCAAACGCCUAUCAAUAGGUGUUGAUACUCCCUUUUGCUUGCUAUUCUUUUCUUUUUCUUCUUUCUGCUGAAUUUCUUCAGAAAAUUAAGAACUCCAAGCACAUGUUUCCAUGUUUCAAUCAUAGGAACUUUAGUCUCCAAUUUCUUGAAGAUCGCCAACUUGAACUUAUUUCCCUUCUAUGAUUUUUCUUUUUAUGAGGAAGACGUUUUUCAUGUGAUCUUUUCUUCUUUCCUGUCUUCCACUUUUUCUCAACCUUCUCCUUCUUCCACUUUCUUUUUUUCUUUUUUCUUAUUUUCUUAUUUUUUUCUUUUUUCUCAACCACUGCUUUUUCUUUCUUCUCAUCUUUCUCUCCCUCACUCAACCUUUCUACUUCAUCUUCCUCUAUUUUCUCCUCUUUUAUCUUUUCCAUUUCUCUCUCCACCUUCUCCUCAUCAACAACCUCAUCAAUUUGUGUCUCCAAAUUCCUGAAGGUAACUUCAUAUCUCUUGGAACUACACCUCUCCAGAAAUUUGUCGAACCUUUCAUUACAGCUUUUAACUUGUUCCGUCACAUCAGCUACCUACUGCCAAAGUUGUUGAUCAUACUCCCAUUUUUCUAUUGGUGAAGAGUAUUGUUGUUGCCACUGAUAUUGUUGCCUUUCUUCCAUGCUUCUAUGAGAAGAAAAUCUUGUAUACAUGUCUUNUGGCAAGAAUUCAUCAUUCUUUACAGUCUCCUCUAUGCCUUUGACAUGGUACAUUUCUAAAUUCAUAAUUCUCUGAAAAAUUUCAUCAGAUUCUACACUUCUUUCUAUAGGCAUGAAAUGAGGCUCAUUAGCUUGUCCAUAUCGACUUUGAUACAUGUAUGAGUGAGGUUCUCACCAGUGAUUGAAAUUAUUUUGGUAGGAUUGAGUGCCCAUAUAAUCAAAUCCUUGUCCGUACUGCAUUCUGCAAACAUUAAGCACAAAACCCUAGAAAACAUUUAUUAGAACAAAAAUGAAAAUAAACAUAAAAUCAAGCCAAAUUCAAUUAAUUCACACUACUUGAAAAAGUUAAACCUCGAGUCCCCGACAACGGCGCCAAAACCUUGUUAACGGAUUGACAACUGUACCAAAUCGUAUCAAGUAAUAAUAAAUGGUAAGUCCAAGUAUCGUUUUCCCAAGAGACUCGAAAGGCCUUAUCGUUCGUGUGAAUUAAGAUCGUAAGACUUGAAAAUAAAAAUUAAAUAAUUGGGUAUGAGAACAAAAUAUAAACAUGCAAAAGAGAUUGAUUCAAUUGACGAGAAGAAAAUGGUGGAUGAAUGGAGUUGUUGGGGGUUUACAAUUUCAUCUUAUCUGCUCUCUCUUAUUUACUCCUCUUGAUUUAUUUGCUUGAUUAACUAAUUGUUAUGCAACUUUCUUGGCCUACCCUUAACCCGAUCCCUCGGCGAAAAGAGCCUAUUACUAAUUACUGGCUUGCUAUCCCUAGCCUCCCCC